AUUGAACGCCGGCGGCAGGCUUAACACAUGCAAGUCGAGCGAGCGGCGGACGGGUGAGUAAUGUCUGGGAAACUGCCUGAUGGAGGGGGAUAACUACUGGAAAAGGUAGCUAAUACCGCAUACCAUCAGAUGUGCCCAGAUGGGAUUUGCUAGUAGGUGGGGUAAUGGCUCACCUAGGCGACGAACCCUAGCUGGUCUGAGAGGAUGACCAGCCACACUGGAACUGAGACGCGGUCCGAGAUCCUACGGGAGGCAGCAGUGGGGAAUAUUGCAGAAUGGGCGCAAGCCUGAUGCAGCCAUGCCGCGUGUGUGAAGAAGGCCUUCGGGUUGUAAAGCACUUUCAUCGAGGAGGCGUUACUCGCAGAAGAAGGACCGGCUAACUCCGGUCCAGCAGCCGGGGUAAUAC
rnacentral:rRNA from 1 species